rnacentral:rRNA from 1 species
AACGAACGCUGGCGGCAUGCCUAACACAUGCAAGUCGAACGAGACCUUCGGGGCUAGCGGCGCACGGGGGCGUAACGCGGGGGAAGUUGCGCGUAGGUUCGGAAUAACUUCCCGAAAGGGGUGCUAAUACCGGAUAAGGUAUUCGGACAAAAGAUUUAUUGCUUUUGGAUGGGCGCGCGUUGGAUUAGAUAGUUGGUAGGGUAAAGGCCUGCGAAGGCGAUGAUCCAUAGCUGGUCUGGAGGAUGAUCAGCCACACUGGGACUGAGACACGGCUCGGACUCCUACGGGAGGCAGCAGUGGGGAAUAUUGGACAAUGGGCGAAAGACUGAUCCAGCAAUGCCGCGUGAGUGAUGAAGGCCUUAGGGUUGUAAAGCUCUUUUACCCGGGAUGAUAAUGACAGUACCGGGAGAAUAAGCGCCGGCUAACUCCGUG